CGGCCUAGCUGGUGUCAGUGAGAGGCUCUAUAACAACAACAACAAUAAAAUUAAUCAAAUAUAAUUCAAUUGAACUGUUCACUUGGCAGAUAUAUAUAUAUUACUAACUGAUGGACAACUGAGAGAAUUUCUUCUACAAUUUCGUGAAUCCAUACGUCUUUUAUUUAUUUAUUAUAUCUUCUUUGAGAUAUAAUUUUGAAACAAUUGAGUGAAAUUUUCAAGAUAAUCUCCAAGUUGUUUUAUUUAUGAAAUUUGUUUACAAGAGAGGAAUGGAUGGUGAGAGAAGUAUACUUAAAACAAAAAAGAAGGAAGGAAGGAAGGAAGGAAUUGUUUAGGCCAAUAAGAACUACCGAUUCUCUUGAUAAGGUUUCUGAAUACAUAAUAAGAAUACUUAUUGAAUUAGACACCCGAAGAAAGAUCAAAGUUAAGUAUAUAUUUUAAAUAAUUAUUAUUAUAAUAAUAAUAAAAAAAAAAAAAUGUGUUCAUAAUAAUUGCAAAAGAACAUUCGUUUGUACGCAGGUACAUUGGUGGUGAUGUUAAAACGCAAAAAGGAUUAUACCAGAUUCGUUGAAAAUGAUCCAAAUCUUUAGUAUACAUCAAACAAAUGUAAAAAAAAGAAGAAAAACAAUAAC